CCUACGGGUGGCAGCAGUGAGGAAUAUUGGUCAAUGGACGAGAGUCUGAACCAGCCAAGUAGCGUGAAGGAUGACUGCCCUAUGGGUUGUAAACUUCUUUUAUAUGGGAAUAAAAUGUUCCACGUGUGGGCUUUUGUAUGUACCAUAUGAAUAAGGUUCGGCUAACUCCGUCCCAGUAGCCGCGGUAAUACGGAGGAUCCGAGCGUUAUCCGGAUUUAUUGGGUUUAAAGGGAGCAUAGGUGGGUUGUUAAGUCAGUUGUGAAAGUUUGGGGGUCAACCGUAAAAUUGCAGUUGAAACUGGCGGUCUAGAGUGUAGGAGAGGUGGGCGGAAUGCGUGGUGUAGCGGUGAAAUGCUUAGAUAUCACGAAGAACUCCGAUUGCGAAGGCAGUUCACUGGACUACAACUGACGCUGAGGCUCGAAAGUGUGGGUAUCAAACAGGAUUAGAUACCCUAGUAGUC
rnacentral:rRNA from 1 species